GAUGAACGCUGGCGGCGUGCCUAAUACAUGCAAGUCGAGCGAACAGACGAGGAGCUUGCUCCUCUGACGUUAGCGGCGGACGGGUGAGUAACACGUGGAUAACCUACCUAUAAGACUGGGAUAACUUCGGGAAACCGGAGCUAAUACCGGAUAAUAUAUUGAACCGCAUGGUUCAAUAGUGAAAGACGGUUUUGCUGUCACUUAUAGAUGGAUCCGCGCCGCACUAGCUAGUUGGUAAGGUAACGGCUUACCAAGGCAACGAUGCGUAGCCGACCUGAGAGGGUGAUCGGCCACACUGGAACUGAGACACGGUCCAGACUCCUACGGGAGGCAGCAGUAGGGAAUCUUCCGCAAUGGGCGAAAGCUUGACGGAGCAACGCCGCGUGAGUGAUGAAGGUCUUCGGAUCGUAAAACUCUGUUAUUAGGGAAGAACAUAUGUGUAAGUAACUGUGCACAUCUUGACGGUACCUAAUCAGAAAGCCACGGCUAACUACGUG
rnacentral:rRNA from 1 species